rnacentral:rRNA from 1 species
CCUCCUUUUUCUCGCUUUUUUCGGAUUUACUGGGCGUAAAGCGCGUGUAGGCGGGUCGUUAAGUUGGGGGUGAAAUCCCGAGGCUCAACCUCGGAACUGCCUUCAAAACUGGCGACCUGGACUCAAGCAGAGGCAAGUGGAAUUGCGAGUGUAGAGGUGAAAUUCGUAGAUAUUCGCAGGAACACCAGUGGCGAAGGCGACUUGCUGGGCUUGUGGUGACGC